rnacentral:sRNA from 1 species
GAUACAUCGAGGUCAUGCGAUACCAUGGGCCAUUCAGAUUGAGGCUCGGCGGUUUCAAUUGCAGGCGACGGACCCGACGGAUCGUUCGUUACUCCAUGAGUGGCGAGCGAUCUGUGGUUCGUUC